rnacentral:rRNA from 1 species
ACGGGAGGCAGCAGUAGGGAAUCUUCCACAAUGGACGCAAGUCUGAUGGAGCAACGCCGCGUGAGCGAAGAAGGUCUUCGGAUCGUAAAGCUCUGUUGUUAGAGAAGAACAGCCAUGAGAGUAACUGCUCAAGGUUUGACGGUAUCUAACCAGAAAGCCACGGCUAACUACGUGCCAGCAGCCGCGGUAAUACGUAGGUGGCAAGCGUUGUCCGGAUUUAUUGGGCGUAAAGGGAACGCAGGCGGUCUUUUAAGUCUGAUGUGAAAGCCCUCGGCUUAACCGAGGAAUUGCAUUGGAAACUGGGAGACUUGAGUGCAGAAGAGGAGAGUGGAACUCCAUGUGUAGCGGUGGAAUGCGUAGAUAUAUGGAAGAACACCAGUGGCGAAAGCGGCUCUCUGGUCUGUAACUGACGCUGAGGUUCGAAAGCGUGGGUAGCAAACAGGAUUAGAUACCCUGGUA